rnacentral:rRNA from 1 species
AUUGAACGCUGGCGGCGGGCCUAACACAUGCAAGUCGAACGAGUGGCGGACGGGUGAGUAAUGUCUGGGAAACUGCCUGAUGGAGGGGGAUAACCACUGGAACCGGUAGCUAAUACCGCAUACCAUCAGAUGUGCCCAGAUGGGAUUAGCUUGUUGGUGGGGUAACGGCUCACCAAGGCGACGAUCCCUAGCUGGGCUGAGAGGAGGACCAGCCACACUGGAACUGAGACACGGUCCAGACUCCUACGGGAGGCAGCAGUGGGGAAUAUUGCACAAUGGGCGCAAGCCUGAUGCAGCCAUGCCGCGUGUAUGAAGAAGGCCUUCGGGUUGUAAAGUACUUUCAGCAGGGAGGCGGUACCCGAAGAAGAAGCACCGGCUAACUCCGUGCCAGCCGCCGCGGUAAUUC